AGGGAAGUGAGAGAAACUGGUCAUUUCCAAAAUAUUGAAUGCACAAGAAUUUUGCAUGAAAUUUGCAUGUUCAUAUAAUAAAAAUUGACAUAAUUGAUAAAGUAAGAUGACUUGACCACUAGAAGUUCCCCUGGACCACUGAAUAAAUGAAGUUAGUAUCCUGGAAGAACUGUCACAAUAGUGAGGGAAGCAGCAGUUUAUAUUUUCAAAUAAUUAUCAAUGAUUGACAGAUGAACAGAAAGAUUCAUCUGUAAUUAGAUGAAGAAUGAUCAGAUGGACUAGAUUCUCCUUAAUCUUUUAGAAUAGCAUAAAGUUUAAGUGUCUAAGUUUGACUAGAAACAUAUAGGCCUGGUUUCACAAAACAGGGCUUAGCCUAAACCAGGAUUAGGCCUUAGUUCAAUUAGGAUAUUUAAGUGAUUGUAACAGGGCGUGUUUCGGGAACUACAAAACCCAUCAGCCUCAGUUUUAUAAAAGGAAGUGAUGAGAUUUGUUCUUCCACUUCCUCCCUUUGUUUUUCCGCUGUCGAUUCAUGAAUGGAAGUCGCGGCAGAUUUAAGUAUUAUGGCUGGAUGGUUGCCCGAGUGUCAUAAACCAAAAUAACGGAUGGUAGAGGGAUGCACGAUUACCGUUUAUUUUAGGUUGAAUUAUUGUUGAGAUUUUUUUUUUUUUUUUUUGGUUGGAUGUUGGACCAGAGUUGGCCAAGGGAGAACUGAGGCCACACCAAAGACAAAAAGGGACUAAGUAGAUCGUAGUCAUUUCAUGGUGCUGACUUAUUUGUUCGAUUUGCAUUACCCACUGUUAAUAUUAUUGUUUGUUUGUUUUUGUUGUAGAUUUCUUUUUGAAGGUCUGCUGCAUCCUUUUAACAUGUUAAUGUUUUUUUCAUAAUUAUUAAUAUUAUUUUCUUUUGAAUAAAAAAUGUUUGUUUAUUGAAGCUUCA